rnacentral:Y_RNA from 1 species
AGUUGGUCCGAAGGUAGUGAGUUAUCUCAACUGAUUGCUCACAGUCAGUUACAGAUGGAAAUCCUUGCCCUACUCCUUCCUCCCUUCUCACUACUGCACUUGACUGGUCUUAA